AAGGAUCACAUAGAUCUUAAACUGAAGAGUUUGAUCAUGGCUCAGAUUGAACGCUGGCGGCAGGCCUAACACAUGCAAGUCGAGCGGUAACAGGGGUAGCUUGCUACCCGCUGACGAGCGGCGGACGGGUGAGUAAUGCAUAGGAAUCUGCCCGAUAGUGGGGGAUAACCUGGGGAAACCCAGGCUAAUACCGCAUACGUCCUACGGGAGAAAGGGGGCUUCGGCUCCCGCUAUUG
rnacentral:rRNA from 1 species